GAUGAACGCUGGCGGCGUGCCUAACACAUGCAAGUCGAGCGAGGGUUUGCUCAGUAUUGAGUAUUCUAAAACUAGAAUGUUCAAUUCUGAGCAAAACCAAGCGGCGGACGGGUGAGUAACGCGUGGGUAACCUGCCCUAUACACAUGGAUAACAUACUGAAAAGUUUACUAAUACAUGAUAAUAUAUAUUUGUGGCAUCGCAGAUAUAUCAAAGUGUUAGCGGUAUAGGAUGGACCCGCGUCUGAUUAGCUAGUUGGUGAGAUAACUGCCCACCAAGGCGACGAUCAGUAGCCGACCUGAGAGGGUGAUCGGCCACAUUGGAACUGAGACACGGUCCAAACUCCUACGGGAGGCAGCAGUGGGGAAUAUUGCACAAUGGGCGAAAGCCUGAUGCAGCAACGCCGCGUGAACGAUGAAGGUCUUCGGAUCGUAAAGUUCUGUUGCAGGGGAAGAUAAUGACGGUACCCUGGAG
rnacentral:rRNA from 1 species